rnacentral:rRNA from 1 species
GAUGAACGCUGGCGGCGUGCCUAACACAUGCAAGUCGAACGGACUUAAACCGAAACCUAGUGAAGUUUAAGUUAGUGGCGGACGGGUGAGUAACGCGUGGACAACCUGCCGUAUGCAGGGGGAUAACAGCCGGAAACGGCUGCUAAUACCGCAUAAGCGCACAGUACCGCAUGGUACGGUGUGAAAAGAUUUAUCGGCAUACGAUGGAUCCGCGUCCGAUUAGCCAGUUGGCGGGGCAACGGCCCACCAAAGCGACGAUCGGUAGCCGGCCUGAGAGGGCGGACGGCCACAUUGGGACUGAGACACGGCCCAA